rnacentral:rRNA from 13 species
UUGACCUCGGAUCAGGUAGGAAUACCCGCUGAA